GCGCCGGGGCGGGCUCCGAGGGUACCCUGGUGCUAGGGGUCGUCCGUCCUCCCAGCCUGGCAGCUGGGGGUUCGUGUCUGCGCGCGUCCGCGGCGCCUAGGUGGCCUUUGCUCCUCCAGCCCCCAUUGAAGGACGUUUGUCUGUUGCAGUAGUUCUCAAAGUGUGGGCCAGGAACACCCUGGAGCUUCCUGAGACCCUGUGAGUUGAACCCAGCCACCAUGCUGAGAGGAUCCUAGGCCACUUGAAGGGGUCGGUGCUCCAGUCAACAGUCCCAGCUGAGCUCACACCUGGCAGCCAGCGCCAGCCUUAAUCUUCACCCUGAGCCUUCAAAUGUCUCCAGCCCUGAUCGCGUUGACCUGAAACCACACAAGAGGCCCUAAGUGAAAAGAACCACCCAGCUACCCAGUCAACUUAUAGAACGCAACAAUCACUUGUACAGCGUGACUGAGUUUCUCUCUGUGAGAUCUGCAACCAGCCACCAGUGGUGUGGAGGAGGAGGUGACAGAUCCAAGUGUCAACUGCUGCUGCUGCUGCUGCUGCUGCUGCUGAUCAACUGCUGAGAUGAUGAUGGGAGUUUAAGUUCACUGUGAUUUCCACACCGAGAAUUUGAGGACCAACAAGGAGCUCGGUGGGCUGGGGCUCAAGGAAGACACAGCUCUGGUACUGUGUCAUUUAAGCCUGGAACGAUCCAAAUGGGAUUUGAGUCUACAAACUGAAUCAUGGCAAGGAGUGUCAAGUCUGAGGUAUGGAGGUGUGAUUCUGAAAACCAGCCUCAAGCAGGAUUUAUAUGAACCAUGUGUUUUACUCACUUGAGCAGCCAGGGCAAUAGUCUGAACUACUAAUGGAACAGGUACUGUGAAUACGGCUAAAUAUAUUCAUGUUUGAAGAGGCACGAGAGCUCGCACAAAGAAGACUAAUAUGGCAGCCUAGGCUCCACCUGUUACAAGUCCCGUUUUCAGGGUUGGCCUGGCCCUUGGCUGACACCUGGCAACUUGGCUUUUAGAGUUUUGUGUGUAUCCCAACUGAUAAGCAUGUCUCACUGUGCCCAGAAUAUGCAAACGAUGUGAUUUACACUGAACACCUGCUUUCCUUCUGGGAGUCUGGAAUGUGGUAUGUUUUAGACAGAAGGUGCCUACUUGCCUGGUCUUCAGUGCAUUGUGUGACCCCCUCAGAAGAGGGAGAGAGAAGAGGGAGAGAUUGCAUCACAAUCUGUCCUCUUGUCCCUGUAAUCCUGCUCGGUGUGGAAAUCACAGUGAACUUAAACUCCCAUCAUCAUCUCAGUGCAUUGUGUGACCCCCUCAGAAGAGGGGAGAAGAGAAGACAGAAAUCCUGCACGUGGAUUUCCCCAGACUUCACCUUUCUCCUUAUGGUCCACCUGUGUGUCCUUGCUACAUCACUACAAUAAGCCUUAGCUUGUACAGCUCUGCCAGGGGACUGUGGCCUCUACUGCAGCCCUCUUCACAGGACCCUGGCUUCAGCCUUUCCCACUCUGCAUCUCCAGCUGAUGCCCUCACAUCUGCUUUCACCUUGCUCAAAUUUGCAGAAUGAAUUCUCUGAUGUGAAAGAAGGUGAGAGCUCCCAGCAAAGGCUUUCCCACACUGAUUACAUUCAAAAGGUUUCUCUCCAGUAUGAGUUCUCUGAUGCUCAAUAAGGCUACCCACAGAAAAAAAGACUCUUUCACCACUCCAUAGUCAAUGCCACCGACACCCCAGAAAAGCACUGUCGUCCUUGAAACAGUGUGGUUGGCCAGGCUGGGUUGCAACUGGGCUUCACUAACCAGCAACUUCUGAAGCUCAUUCUCCUCGGUGAGAGAGAGAGAGCACACACGUGCAUGCAGCGUAUACAC